rnacentral:lncRNA from 1 species
UGAGCUUUGUUUUCAUGGAAACAAUUAGUAGAAGUGGAGUAAAGUGGUGAAACAUGUUGUCUUCUAAGAAUAAAAUUAAGUUUAGCAAUGAGAGCAUGCUCAACUUGUAGAAAACAUUUCUUUAUUUGAUUCUUGAAAGUAACCUAACAAAUAAUAUGGUAGUUUUUGGGAUCAUCCUCAUUGAUAGUGCAAGAGAGCAUUGGAUCUUGAAGAAAGAUUCACCAGAAGCAACCAUUUUACAAGGUUUGAUAUUCUUAAGAAAUUCAUUGACUAAUAAUUCUCAAGGAUGAAUUAGAAUUCUUACUGCCAACACCGAAGUGUGAAUCUUGUAAUCUUAAUCAAUCGCUCAAAAAUCAUGCGAAUAUGGAGAAAGUACCUGCAAUCCAUAUCUACGAAAUAGAGAUAUAUUUGAUUGAAGGAAUACGUGAAGCAAUAAGAGUUGUUGCCAUAAAUUGAGUGAAGAUUUUCAGUUUAGGUGCUGUAGAUAAAUAAUGCUAUAUACUUUUUUUCUGUGGCAAUUAAAGCUUUGAUUUCCGGUAUUUAGAAGUGUUCAUUCCAAUGAUAUUCAACAAAGCGUGAUUAAUUUGGUUUGAGUGUGUUUAAGAGAAAGUUUAUGCGUAUAUAAUGUCACCACAAAUUCGAACAUCAAAUGGAUGACAAAAGGUUCAUAUUACUUUUCACAUGAUUUAUUAUACAAAUAACAAAUUGUGCAUGUUAUGUUUUUUUGCAGGUAAUUUGUU